GGCGUAGUGGUGUAGUGGUUAGCACGUUUGCCUCGCGCCUCCAGGGUCUGGGGUUCGAUUCCCACUGGAGUGA